AGAUCUUCAAAGUAACAGUUGGUAAGAAGCAACUGCUGUAUUUCAGCUGAUCUUUGCUGCUGUUCAGAAUCCUAGUGAAGAGACCAGGGGAGUUAAACCAAUACAGAUCUGACAACCUGUAAGACUGGACAGAACAAAGUGACCACCAAAAGCGGGACUUUGUGGGCCAGUUGGAUAAAACAUAAGCUCAUCUCGCCCCCAAAACCCCGACUCUGGAACCACAACCUUCCAAGAUUCAAUUUGUAAGUAAAGUAUCUUUGUAAGAUAUGCCCAAUCAACUGAGUCAUUGCUUACAGAGUGGGUAAUUUUCAGACUAAUAAAAAGAGAAUAUUGCAGCCAAGUCACAAUACACACUCCUUCAUUUUCUGGACAGCGGGAAUUACUAAGAGAUACUAUUUGUUUUUAUUCAUAUUUUAUGAUUUAUUUAUCAGGCAGGUAAGAAGUACCUCCUCUAAGUGUCUAUAAAAUGACAUGGAACUCCCCAGAAUAACAGUUAUUUAUUAGACCCAGCACUCAAACUAUCUAUUAAGACUUCUUCUCAAAGUGGGUAACAAAUUACUGUGUAUCUCUUCCACUG